UUCCUUAAAAAAGGGCUUGCUUGACAGGUUCUGUACUUACCUCAAUUUCCAGUCUUACAUAAUUGCAAGAGAGGGGGAGUCGGUCGUAGAAGCUGACAUGAUGCUUCAGCCAAGAUGAAGAUGUAGAUCCAAAUGUGGUUCCACGUACAUUAGAAGGCGUUCACCAUCUGACUGAUCAAAAUGAAGAAGAGGGAUUUUGCCGAGGA